CUAGAGAAAGAGGGUCUACACCUCCUUAAUGAA
rnacentral:tRNA from 1 species